GGGUUAGUAGGUUGGUCAUGCCUCUGGUAUGUACUGAUCUCACUGAUUCCUCCUUCCUGAUGAGCCGUAAUGCCAUUAAUUUGGUGUUGCGGGGAAUUUGGACUGUUACUUUGAAAAAAUUAGAGUGUUUAAAGCAAGCUAACGCUUGAAUACAUUAGCAUGGAAUAAUGAAAUAGGACGUUCGAUCCUAUUUUGUUGGUUUUCGGAACUUGAGGUA
rnacentral:rRNA from 1 species